CAUUAGGAAGCUAAUUUGGUCUUAAGCAUUAGCCUUUUAAGCUAAAAAUUGGUGACUACCCCCCACCCCUAGUGA
rnacentral:tRNA from 1 species